rnacentral:lncRNA from 1 species
AGUGGGCGUGCAGGAGAAGCUGUAGGUCAGGAGGUAGAGUUGGCAGUGGGCGUGCAGGAGAAGCUGUAGGUCGGAGAGGUAGAGGUGGCAGUGGGCGUGCAGGAGAAGCUGUAGGUCAGGGGGUAGAGGUGGCAGUGGGCGUGCAGGAGAAGCUGUAGGUCAGAGUGGAUAGGUGGCAGUGGGCGUGCAGGAGAAGCUGUAGGUCAGGAGGUAGAGGUGGCAGUGGGCGUGCAGGAGAAGCUGUAGGUCAGGAGGUAGAGGUGGCAGUGGGCGUGCAGGAGAAGCUGUAGGUCAGGAGGUAGAGUUGGCAGUGGGCGUGCAGGAGAAGCUGUAGGUCGGAGAGGUAGAGGUGGCAGUGGGCGUGCAGGAGAAGCUGUAGGUCAGAGUGGAGAGGUGGCAGUGGGCGUGCAGGAGAAGGUGUAGGUCGG